rfam:Ixodes scapularis strain Wikel colony gcontig_1107728633958, whole genome shotgun sequence.
UCCUAAUUAGCUCAGUUGGUAGAGCGCUCCACUGGAAAUUGAGAGGUCCUGUGUUCGAUACCCGGACCAGGCG